rnacentral:rRNA from 1 species
GAUUUCUGGCGUGAUGCGCCUGGUCCGGUCGGCUUUCCAAAGUCGGUCCGAGUGCCGGCGCGCGUCUGCCAUCGUUCUAGAAAACGGGCUCUGGGCCUUCACUGGUCCGGGGUUCGCGAUCUAGAUCCUUUACUGUGAACAAAUUAGAGUGUUUAAAGCAGGCUAUUGCUAUGAAUACAUUAGCAUGGAAUAAUAAUCUAGGACUUCGGUUCUAUUUUGUUGGUUUCUAUAACUGAAGUAAUGAUUGAUAGGGAUAGUUGGGGGUGCUAGUAUUGGCCGGUCAGAGGUGAAAUUCUUGGAUUCGGUCAAGACUAACUUAUGCGAAAGCAUU